CUGGUGUCUGUGACAUGUCUGGUGUCUUGUCAUUCUGACAUUUCUGGUGUCUGAUUAUUGUGACGAUUUCGUACUUUGGGGGUAUGGGGUGUGUGAAUGGUAUAGGGAAAGGCUUAGAAGGAAAGGGAGCUGUAGCAGGUGGGGUGAGGAUGGAGGAGGAGGGUGGGUCGCUGUUUCUUGAUGCCGCAGGUGUUCGUCGUGUUGUUAGUGCAUUUCUUUCGGCCUGUCUUGCCCCCGGGGUCCUGUAGACCUGUCAAGUCCGCACUUCCUAGUAGCUGGACUAGACUGCAGAAGUGAAAGGGGAGAGGGAGAAUAAAGAGCUGCAGCUGUUCAUCCUGAGUUCACUAGCACGUGCCUUGUAAUCAUCUACUGGGAAUUAACUUCUCCCAAACUGAGUUAACCGCUGGAGACGAAAGAAUUAACUUGAGUGGAGACUGCACUUGCUUUCAUGGAUUGCGGAUCGAAACUCUACCUGAAUU